UAAGCAAGAGGCAAGCGUCAACAGAGGUGCCGGGGAGGAGCAGGCCGCCGGCGCGGUCGCAGGAGAAGGGAUGCGCUGGAACGAUAGCACAGGACUAGGGCCGCUGGACAUCAUCGACGCUAGCAGAUAAGGACACCAACAACAGGUCACUCUUGUCGUCAAACACUUUGAUGAUCCAAGGAUAGUGAGUGCAGACUUGAAAGAUCUUCUUCUUCUUCAAUCAAUAUCUGUUCUUGUACAGUACAAAGAAUUCAUGUUUCUAUUUGAGAACAAUCGGGGGGCUAUAAACAGAAUGCUAAGAUCACUUCUGUCAGCUUUUGGUAAUAGAUCAUGAUACCUAUUACCAACAUACCUUUUCAACUCUGCAAAGGUUUAGGUUUUGCUUCAUCCAAGAAUGCUGAAUCUUCAUCAUCUGCAACUUUCCAGGUUUACUUUAAUAUUACAAUCUCUUUUGUAAUUAUAUUCAUUCUUCUAUUUAUGUUAUCCUUUCUGAAUCGACUUUUCAACACAUUAAGUUGGACAAUGACUGAGUUCUCCAUGUCCAUCCAUGAGAUGCAAGAUAAGCACCUGGUGGAUUUUUUUUUUGUUUUAUAUUUCCCUUGGUGCAGAACUUCAACUCUUUGCUGAUUAAUCUUUAGUACUCGGGUUACAUUUUCAGUUUAGUAACUAAACACCAUCCUUUUUCACAUGUCAAAAUGCAUGAACUUUAUCUUAGCUCUGCAAUGAAGGUAUACACUAACAGGAUCCUUCCUCUUUUUGUUUGGAGAACACUAACGGGAUCUCUUGACAAGGAUAAAUUCCAGUAAUUUGGUUGCUUCAGUUAAUUGCUUUUUCAAUAUUUUAUCCCAAGGGUGUAGUCAUGCAUGUGAAGGUAAAUAAUUGUAACCAAUAUUUUUCAGGUUGCUGAUUUGCAGCAAAGAAAGUGCAUCGUUAUUUUUUACAUAUCAUGUAGUCUUGCAAGGAUCUUGGAAUUCUGCGCCAGAGAGAUCCCUCAUGCGUUACUCAUGGGGCCAGAUAUGAAUCUGCGGAGAUUGACUGAAUUAAUUGUAUUUAUUUUGAACCACAUCAUAUCAGCAACUAAUGCAGAGUGGUUUUACAUGCAAGUCCACAUCUUAAUCUGAAUUCUGAAGUCUGAAAAUUAGCAGUGUUUUAGUUAUUUUAAGUUGAGACAGUGAUCUUUAAAGGUGGUUCAGUUUAGUGCCAGAAUCUAAAACGCACUACUUCUAUUGUUGAUUUGAGCUGACUCAAGUAUGAACCAAUAUUGUUAUAUCCUGACAUCUUUUUUUUGUUUCACAGUACACCAAGAUGCUUCCUCAUUUUAUCGGUGCCUAUGAUAAUCUUUAAUGUAUAAGUAUAUGUCAAUGUGCAUUAGGAAUGAUCGUAUUUUUCUUCAGUUGUAUAUGUCGACGUGCCUUGCACGUGCACGUUCACUAGUAGCUAAAAUAUAAGGGACUUUAUUCUUA